UCAAUUGGCUGAAUGAAGUACUAUUUUUGCUGUCAGCAGGUCUACAGCUAUGCCAACAGCUAAAAGAUAAGAUAUCCGUCUUCUCCCUGUACAAAGAUUUCAAAGUUGGUUCGCGCGCCUCGUCCGCUUUAUCCUAUUGACCACCCAUUUUUGCAGGCCUCUGUUUUUGGCUUCUUUUAAAAGACUUAGGUUGUAUUUUUUUAUUUAUAUGAAAAGCUUAGACAAAAAGAAAAACUACAAAACAAAUCGGUAUUUACGUUAUCGAAUAUUAAUAAUUUAUGCAUAAAAUGCUUUACUAUUUUUUUAAUCUUUUAAAAAUUAAAAAAAAGAAAACAACAAAAACAACGGAAACAACUCCAUUUAAACGACUAUACUCAAAUUGCUUCAGGUUUCUUUGAAUGAGAAAAUACAAAAACAAAAUGCCUUUUAAAAUAAUCGACUAGUUAGUGUAUGUUACCAUAACAGUACUUAAAACCACUAAAAUUAUGCUAAAUGUUAAAACAAAAAUACUUUAACGUUUGCAUGUUUAUUGAAAAGACACAAAGACAAAAACAAAGAAACAAACACCACCAUUCGCUGCCUUAUAGCACAACUAUGUAUGUAUGCUGACACGUACUAUGUAUAGAUAAAAUCAUCACGUUGCAAUUUAAGUUACCCACGCCCCCUAAUCCACAAAAGGAAUUGCUUCUAUUUUAUAGUUUACAUUUUACAGCAGAACAUCCCAACAUCCCUUCAUCCCUUAUUUUUAACGCUAUUUUAUUAUAUACAAAUUAGCUGAAAUAAAACAAUUGUAUAUUUUA
rnacentral:sRNA from 1 species